GGUUAUGUAUGGGUGAUCUGGCUACAACAUCUGUCACACCACUGAUCACCAGGGUUGAUUCAGCUGAUCUGGCUGGCUAGGCAGGUGUCCCUAUUCCCUCACCACUCCAUGCAUGUCCCUCUCAGUCGAAGAGGAUGACCUUCCCCGAAUAGAGGAGGACCAGUCUUCAGUCAAGAGCAUAUGAGUAGCUGUGCUCCCCUCCUAGAACCUCCAAACAAGCUCUUAAAAUUGGGGGCUGGAGAGAUGGCUUAGCAGUUAAGGCCUU
rnacentral:snRNA from 1 species